UCUGAGCGAUUUCAUCUCAGUGAUUUCAUCGAAGAGAUUCAGAGAUUCAGAUCGGUCUCCACCAUCUGCACCAUCGUCUACAUCAUCAUCUACACCAUCGUCUCCUAAGUUAGCCCCAAUCCAAGAUUGAUCCAUAUGAGGUUAGGGCCCGUGCUAAACAGGUUGUGCAAGAUCAGCGCCGUCUGAAGGUCACUAUGUUGUAAUAUGUGGCUAUGAUGCUCUGACAGAUGAGUUUGAGAUUAGAGAUCCAGCGAGCUCUGGGUACAUCACUUGUUUUCCCUCUCCUUUAAACAUCACUAUCCACAAACAUUCGAAAAAACAAAAAACAGAGCUGCCUCUUUUUUUUAGUUCUUUUUUUUCUUUUUUUCUUUGGUCAUAAGAAGAUAAUUAACACCUAAGCAUGUUGAUUAAGUAAAAGAGUUGUGGAAUCCUUUAGUGAAUGCUUCUUGAUGUGUGUUAGUUAAUUUGAGAAAAUACAGUGAAAAGGUUGGAAACUAGUCUUUUUCUUCCCCAGGAUGUGUGUCUACAC